GUGAGGAAUAUUGGUCAAUGGGCGGGAGCCUGAACCAGCCAAGUCGCGUGAAGGAAGAAGGAUCUAUGGUUCGUAAACUUCUUUUGCAGGGGAAUAAAGUGCAGGACGUGUCCUGUUUUGUAUGUACCCUGAGAAUAAGGAUCGGCUAACUCCGUGCCAGCAGCCGCGGUAAUACGGAGGAUCCGAGCGUUAUCCGGAUUUAUUGGGUUUAAAGGGUGCGUAGGUGGUUUGAUAAGUCAGCGGUGAAAGUUUGCAGCUUAACUGUAAAAAUGCCGUUGAAACUGUCGGACUUGAGUGUAAAUGAGGUAGGCGGAAUGCGUGGUGUAGCGGUGAAAUGCAUAGAUAUCACGCAGAACUCCGAUUGCGAAGGCAGCUUACUAAGCUACAACUGACACUGAAGCACGAAAGCGUGGGGAUCAGACAGGAUUAGAUACCCCUGUAGUCC
rnacentral:rRNA from 1 species